AGAGUUUGAUCAUGGCUCAGGAUGAACGCUAGCGGCGCGCCUAAUGCAUGCAAGUCGAACGGAACAUAUCCGCCUUCGGGCGGAGAAAGUUCAGUGGCAGACGGCUGAGUAACGCGUAAGUAACCUACCCUCGAGAGGGGAAUAACCCAGGGAAACCUGGGCUAAUACCGCAUGAUCUUCACGGUUGGGAAGCCGUGACAGCAAAGGGACGGGCGACCGCUCCCGCUCAUGGAUGGGCUUGCGUCCUAUCAGGUAGUUGGUGAGGUAACGGCUCACCAAGCCGAAGACGGGUAGCUGGUGUGCGAGCAUGACCAGCCAGAGGGGGACUGAGACACGGCCCUCACUCCUACGGGAGGCAGCAGCAGGGAAUCUUCCACAAUGGGCGAAAGCCUGAUGGAGCGACGCCGCGUGAAGGAUGACGGCCUUCGGGUUGUAAACUUCUUUUGCCGAGGAAGAGAAUGGACGGUACUCGGCGAAUAAGUCACGGCUAACUACGUGCCAGCAGCCGCGGUAAUACGUAGGUGGCGAGCGUUGUCCGGAAUUACUGGGCGUAAAGGGUCCGUAGGCGGCUUGGUAAGUUUCCUGUGAAAACUCCGGGCUCAACCCGGAGAGGUCGGGAAAUACUGCUGGGCUUGAGAAUGGCAGAGGUGAACGGAAUUCCCGGUGGAGCGGUGAAAUGCAUAGAUAUCGGGAGGAACACCAGUGGCGAAGGCGGUUCACUGGGCCAUUUCUGACGCUGAGGGACGAAAGCGUGGGGAGCAAAUCGGAUUAGAUACCCGAGUAGUCCACGCCCUAAACGAUGGAUGCUAGAUCUCUGGGGAGUUACACCCCUGGGGGUCAAAGCUAACGCAUUAAGCAUCCCGCCUGGGGACUACGGCCGCAAGGCUAAAACUCAAAGGAAUUGACGGGGGCCCGCACAAGCAGCGGAGCGUGUGGUUUAAUUCGAUGCAAAGCGAAAAACCUUACCCAGGCUUGACAUGUAGGUGGUACCGAACCGAAAGGGGACGGACCCUCCGGGGAGCCUACACAGGUGCUGCAUGGUUGUCGUCAGCUCGUGCCGUGAGGUCUUGGAUUAAGUUCCGCAACGAGCGCAACCCCCACCUUUAGUUGCUUUCUCUAAAGGGACUGCCCGUAAAACGGAGGAAGGAGGGGACGACGUCAAAUCAUCAUGGCUCUUACGUCUGGGGCCACUCACACGCUACAAUGGCCAACACAAACGGCUGCGAAACCGCGAGGUGGAGCUAAUCCGACCAAAGUUGGUCCAAGUGGGGAUUGCAGGCUGAAACCCGCCUGCAUGAACGCGGAGUUGCUAGUAACCGCAGGUCAGCAUACUGCGGUGAAUACGUUCUCGGGCCUUGUACACACCGCCCGUCAAGUCACGGAAGUUGGUAAUGCCCGAAGUCGCUGUGCUAACCCGUAAGGGAAGCAGGCGCCUACGGUAGAAUCAAUGACUGGGACUAAGUCGUAACAAGGUAACCGUA
rnacentral:rRNA from 1 species